GUCUUUAUAAGGCAACAAUUCUGGGGCAUCUGGGACAGCACUAAGGGGAUGAUCCGUGCUCUGGCUGGGUGGAGGAACCUCGCGCUGCCCCACACUCCUUUCACCCCUAGGUACCAGAGCAUCCUAUGAAAUCUGAUCCUGUUGGCUCUAAUCUUUGGCUGGCCAUUUAUGUACUGAAUUUGCAGAGUUGCAAACAAAGGCUGGGAUCAUGAUGGGGAGGCAAGAAGAGGCAGGACUCUGCAGGGCCAGGUGGAGCGAGGGCAUCUUUGAAGGAUCACCACCGUGGAAAUACAAGUUCUGCAUGCCGGAAUUAAAGCAAAACAGAGCCCAGUGCACUCCCUACUUUGGAUUUCAAUGUAUCCUACUUGACCCUUGCCUGUGCUGGGCUUCACUCACAUCCAAAAGCUUUGUCCACACCUGAGGAGGCAUCAGGUUCAGAGUGAAGAUGGCUCAAGCUGUUUCCUUGGUCCUGUUGCUCCAGCUGUCAGCGGAGGCAGGCUGUCGUUGCUUAUCUGGCUGCUAAAUCCUUCACAACUCCCCAUGUGAUAUCUUACAAACAUUUUGGAAUGAACUGAUGUGCAGAUUUGCAAAUUAUUCAUAGGAACCUGUGCCUCAGCUUGCAGUAUAUCUUUUCAGAGCCAUGGCAGGCAACCGGCUACCCAAAGUUAAGAAGUUUGGGGGAGCAGAGUGGGACUGGGUUCCACUCAGGGAUGCUGGAUAUCCUGAGUGACCAGUGGAUGGAUGGAAGGUGUGGGUAUGUGCAGCAUCUGGCAUUUCUCUGCUUUCUGUUCUCUGCCUAAGGGCAUAGUGAAGAAUUACCAGGGUCUGCAGUUAUUUUCAAGAGUAGGUGGAGUGGGCAAAUGGGUGUGCUGAUGCCUGGUGGUCUCUGCUGAAUGGGUAAGGGGACAUACAGUUCUGUGGAGGCAGAAAAAUGUACUGGAGGCUGGGAGAGAGCGGCUGUAACAGGGACACUCUGAAGGACGUGGAGAUGUGGAGUUAACCUGUGAUUAUUUUAGGAGAACAAGAGAGCUGAAGGAACCUUUUCAUCCAGAACAGGAGAGUGCUGUUCCACUGAUGCAAGGAGCCACACUGAUGGCAAGUGAGAAGAUUUUCAGGUCUUUCUGUGCUUGGUUCUUUGCGAGAUGUCAGCAUUCCUGUCCCUGGCUGCUCAGGAGGAGCAAGGGAGUGGCUGGAGGCACGUGGCGUCUGCCCAGCUUCAGCUCUGCCCAAGACAAGGAAACCCUCAAGAUGAGAUAAGGCAGGUCUGAUAGGGAGCUUGGGGAUUUUCAGAUUUUCCUUUCCCUCCACAAGAUAAACAAAAGAAAGGAAAAAGGAAAGUCUUGAGAAAAAAAAAUGUAUAGGGUUGAAAAAUACCACUAAGAGUCACUAUUUUCAUUUUUUUGCCAUUAAAAAUAUUGUUUUGCUUCUUUGAAAGAGCACCAAUUGUUUAAUUGACCCCAAAAAGGAAAUGGAUUUUCUGUUCUUUUAUAAGAACCCGAUGUGCUGACAUUUUCCAUCCCGAACUAGAAUUAAAACAGCCACACUGAGAAAACUCAGUGUAUUUUAUUCAUCAAAGAACGGAGACUACUUUGAGGGAGGAGUUGAGGGAGGCUGUAGUUUCAUGUUGCAUUUUCUUUGUGAGCAGAGCAGCCCUGGGUGUGUUUUGUUUUGCAUUUUUUUUUUGAGAUCUUUUAAGCCAGUUAGAAGAUGGGCUCACUGAUCCGGUUUGCCGGGCACACAGUCAUUGCUGGCACAACUGCCAGGGCAGCAGGGAACAGCGAACAGGGGGGGCACGGACAGGCCUGUCGGGCUUUGUCAGACAAUAAAAGGUAACACAAAACUGUAACA
ensembl:lncRNA